rnacentral:rRNA from 1 species
GGCCCAGACUCCUACGGGAGGCAGCAGUGAGGAAUAUUGGUCAAUGGGCGGGAGCCUGAACCAGCCAAGCCGCGUGAGGGAAGAAGGUACAGCGUAUCGUAAACCUCUUUUGUCAGGGAACAAAGGCGGGGACUAGUCCCCGGAUGAGGGUACCUGAAGAAAAAGCAUCGGCUAACUCCGUGCCAGCAGCCGCGGUAAUACGGAGGAUGCGAGCGUUAUCCGGAUUUAUUGGGUUUAAAGGGUGCGCAGGCGGCACGGCAAGCCGGCGGUCAAAUCGCGGGGCUCAACCCCGCCCAGCCGUCGGAACUGCCGGGCUAGAGUGGGCGAGAAGUGCGCGGAAUGCGUGGUGUAGCGGUGAAAUGCAUAGAUAUCACGAAGAACUCCGAUUGCGAAGGCAGCUUACUAAACUGCCACUGACAUUGAUGCUCGAAAGUGUGGGUAUCAAACAGGAUUAGAUACCCCCGUAG